AUUGAACGCUGGCGGCAGGCCUAACACAUGCAAGUCGAGCGAGCGGCGCACGGGUGAGUGAUAUCUGGGAAAAUGCGUGAGGUAGGGGGGGAACAACAGGAAACGGUAGCUAAUACCGCAUACCAUCUGAAGGGCCCCGAUGGGAUUAGCUAGUAGGUGGGGUAAAGGCGCACGUAGGCGACGAUCCCUAGCUGGUAGGAGAGGAUGAGCAGCCACACUGGAACUGAGACACGGCCCAGACUCCUACGGGAGGCAGCAGUGGGGAAUAUUGCCCAAUGGGCGCAAGCCUGAUGCAGCCAUGCCGCGUGUGUGAAGAAGGCCUUCGGGUUGUAAAGCACUUUCAGCGGGGAGGCGUUACCCGCAGAAGAAGCACCGGCUAACUCCGUGCCAGCAGCCGCGGUAAUUC
rnacentral:rRNA from 1 species